UGGGGAAUAUUGCGCAAUGGGGGGAACCCUGACGCAGCCAUGCCGCGUGAAUGAAGAAGGCCUUCGGGUUGUAAAGUUCUUUCGGUAUUGAGGAAGGUUGAUGUGUUAAUAGCACAUCAAAUUGACGUUAAAUACAGAAGAAGCACCGGCUAACUCCGUGCCAGCAGCCGCGGUGAUACGGAGGGUGCGAGCGUUAAUCGGAAUAACUGGGCGUAAAGGGCACGCAGGCGGUUAUUUAAGUGAGGUGUGAAAGCCCUGGGCUUAACCUAGGAAUUGCAUUUCAGACUGGGUAACUAGAGUACUUUAGGGAGGGGUAGAAUUCCACGUGUAGCGGUGAAAUGCGUAGAGAUGUGGAGGAAUACCGAAGGCGAAGGCAGCCCCUUGGGAAUGUACUGACGCUCAUGUGCGAAAGCGUGGGGAGCAAACAGGAUUAGAUACCCUGGUAGUCCACGCUGUAAACGCUGUCGAUUUGGGGGUUGGGGUUUAACUCUGGCGCCCGUAGCUAACGUGAUAAAUCGACCGCCUGGGGAGUACGGCCGCAAGGUUA
rnacentral:rRNA from 1 species